UGGGGAAUCUUGCACAAUGGGGGAAACCCUGAUGCAGCGACGCCGCGUGAGCGAUGAAGCCCUUCGGGGUGUAAAGCUCUUUCGGCAGGGAAGACUUUGACGGUACCUGCAGAAGCAGCUGCGGCUAACUACGUGCCAGCAGCCGCGGUAAUACGUAGGCAGCAAGCGUUGUUCGGAGUUACUGGGCGUAAAGGGUGCGUAGGCGGUUCCCUAAGUUUGGUGUGAAAUCUCCCGGCUCAACUGGGAGGGUGCGCCGAAAACUGGGGAGCUAGAGUGUGGGAGAGGUGAGUGGAAUUCCUGGUGUAGCGGUGAAAUGCGUAGAUAUCAGGAGGAACACCGGUGGUGUAGACGGCUCACUGGACCAUUACUGACGCUGAGGCACGAAAGCGUGGGUAGCAAACAGG
rnacentral:rRNA from 1 species